UCCAAUCUGUGAUGCCCCAAGCUUACACGAACAGUUAGGGAUAGGGCCAUAGGGUGCUGCGGCGGCGGACCUCGCCGUGUGCUGCUCCGCGACUUCACCGGCGGCUACGGUGCGACCUCGCUGUUUUCCAACGUACAACAGACAACCCGUCCCAUCCCCGCGCCGCUAUUCUCCCACCUCGGCGCCACCCCCUCACCUCACCUAGCACGUACCUCCGCCAUCCGCCGAUGCCUAGAUCCGCCAUCAGCCGACACCGUAGAAGAGAAAAUCGGCCUUCAGGUGUAAAUAAAGGAACUAAAUUCCUACAAAUUUAGCAUUUUUUGCUAUGUGUCAUGACAUGCCUUGAUGCAUUGCUAAAUAUAUGUUGUUGCACUCAGGAAAAAGAGCAAGUAGCGUCUACAAAGGUUCAACAUCAGCAAAUUGUUCUGAUUACCAAGACGGACAUGACAACUCAAACAAUAUUUAUAUAUGAUCGAUUAAAACAUGUUGAAUAUGUUUGCAAAAAAAAUUCACUUGAACUUGCUUGAUAUUUUGCAGCACAGUGCAACCCAUUGGAGCAGACAUCCUUUACUUUCCAGUAAAUAAUGGAUGAAAAAGUGCCUUCGUUCAUGUGAUAUAUUGACCUAGUUCAAGUACACCUGGUUGAAUAUGUUGGUCCAAUAUAUGUAUACCCGCUAAUUUGCUAUGCCUUGGUUGUAAAUAUUGGGAUGCAACUCGAGUUAUGUGUUUCAUGGUAGAUUUGUGUGUUUUAUCACGCAUGUCGUUCAUGAUAUUGUUGUUGUACUAUGAGCUUUGAAAUGGCGAGAUGGUUGUUGUGUUGCC